rnacentral:lncRNA from 1 species
CAACCUGGAGAGCCACUCCACUACUGACCUACCCAUGCACUUCCAGAACUCCACCCGGAUCUCAUCAGGCCCGGUCGCUCGACCCCUACUCAUCUUACGCAAAGCCCCCAUGACUUCCUCCGCCCUAAUGCGCCUGCAGUACCCAAGGUCUCUAUGUUGCUCUGAAUGCCCCAACUCCCCUAGCUCUAUGUUACGAUCCNN